UAGGUGAAGACAAAUCUAUGGCAAAUCCGGUGGCGACACGCAGUAUAAAAUACCAACAGGAGUAACACGGAGAGUGGCGAGGACAGUGCAAGUUUCUUGAGCUAAAGUCACCAGAGUGGAGAUUUCACAAUUGGAACCAAGGCUGCAGAAAUCCAAGGAAGCACACUGUUGUGCUGGAUUAUGGGCAGCAAUGCUGUAAAACCAGUUUGGAAAGACGGAGAUCCCUGAGCCCUGAGGGGAGGGUUUGAUGAAGACAUCCCAUUUAUGACUAGGUGCUCCAAUGUCUGUUACUGUCCAGCUGUGGGUCUCUGCAUUCGUUCCCAUCUACUGUGAGAAGAAGCUUCUCUGAACUGAGUGGAGCCUUUGUCAUGGUGAUGGAGAAGUCAGCAACAUGGAGUCUGUUCUUUUGGAGGACAGAUAAGAGCAGAAGCCAAAAGGUGAGGUGUCCCCUGUGGGCUCAUUGGAGGAGUUGCUUGGGAAGAAGUCAAUCCUUGAGGAGGAAGAACUGACUGGAGGAGCAUCCGCAAACAGCUCUUGGGAUCUCACAAAGAGAUCCUACUAAACUCUCUCAUCUCUGCAAAGACAUCUUGCUGGCUGCCUUUGGUAUCCACAACUAGGCACUGCCGUAGCCAUCACCACCAGAUGCUAAUGCUACCAUUGAACAUUUUAAGGCAAGGACAGGUUUUAUGGGGUCUUAACACAAGGCCCUCAGCCACACCUGACUUUCCCAGAAGAGAGGUAGAUGUGCAUAUAUUUACAUAUAAAAGAGGAAGAAGAUGUGAGUCAAUGGGUCGGAGCAGACGGUCCUGAGCACACUGUCCUUUCUCUCUGACAGUGACUCAGGUGGGUGGCUGGUUGACCAAGGCAUUUCCAGUCCUUGCAUAUGCCUCUCCCCAGGAUGGCUUCUCAAUCACAGAAGCAAAUAUGUGGGCCCUGGCCCCCCACUGUGAGUGGCUGCCACCUUGCUUGCCAACCUUGACCAGAUGUCCUCCCUAUGCUGAU